rnacentral:rRNA from 1 species
CCUACGGGUGGCUGCAGUGGGGGAUAUUGCACAAUGGGCGAAACCCUGAUGCAGCGACGCCGCGUGAGUGAAGACGUAUUUCGGUAUGUAAAGCUCUAUCAGUAGGGAAGAAAAUGACAGUACCUGACCAAGUAGCCCCGGCCAACUACGUGCCAGCAGCGGUGGCUAUACGUAGGGGGCAAGCGUAAUCCGGAUUUACUGGGCGUAAAGGGAGCGUAGGCGGUUAUGUAAGUCUGGAGUGAAAGCCCGGGGCCCAACCCCGGGAGUGCUGUGGAAACUGUGUAACUGGAGUACAGGAGGGGCAGGCGGAAUUCGUGGUGUAGCGGUGAAAUGCGUAGAUAUCAGGAGGAACACCGACGGCGAAGGCAGCCUGCUGGACUGAAACUGACGUUGAGGCUCGAAAGCGUGGGGAGCAAACAGGAUUAGAUACCCGAGUAGUC